rfam:Triticum aestivum genome assembly, contig: Triticum_aestivum_CS42_TGACv1_scaffold_457586_5DS
CAAAUACUCCCUCCGUCCGGAAUUACUUGUCACAGAAAUGGAUAAAAGUAGAUGUAUAUAGAACUAAAAUACUCUAAAUACAUCCAUUUCUCUGACAAGUAUUUCCGGACAGAGGGAGUACAUU